UUCCAGGAAACAGGAAGGCUACAGGAGGUUAGAGUUGGCUAUCUACCUUUUCCUCAGGACAGAAAAAGCUCUGCUGCUCCAGGAAAAGAAAUGCCACAGCAGGAAUUCCGGGUUGUGAAGGGAACAUGUGUGGGCCACACCAAGAGCAUGGAGCAGCUCUUUUCUAAGUUCUCAAAAGAAACGAAAAUCAGUAACUACAGGACAGCAAGAUUUCUAGGAGUAAACACACUGACAGCAAAAAGAGAAGAAAGAGAAGAAAAAAAAGGCAAAGAAGGCUUGUAAUUUAGAGCAUCACCUAUUUCUCCCAAAGGAUCUGAUGUUCCCAGCAUCUAAUUCUGAAGGUAUUAAAGAGC